GAUGAAGAACGCAGCGAAAUGCGAUAAGUAAUGUGAAUUGCAGAAUUCAGUGAAUCAUCGAGUCUUUGAACGCACAUUGCGCCCCCUGGUAUUCCGGGGGGCAUGCCUGUCCGAGCGUCAUUGCUGCCCUCAAGCACGGCUUGUGUGUUGGGCCGCCGUCCCCGGUUUCCCCCGGGGACGGGCCCGAAAGGCAGCGGCGGCACCGCGUCCGAUCCUCGAGCGUAUGGGGCUUUGUCACCCGCUCUGUAGGCCCGGCCGGCGCCAGCCGACACCCAACUUUAUUUCUAAGGUUGACCUCGGAUCAGGUAGGGAUACCCGCUGAACUUAAGCAUAUCAAUAAGCGGAUGA
rnacentral:misc_RNA from 1 species